CUUGUCAUGGUAGCUCCUGACUAAACUGGGCCUAUGAGAAGGCUUGUCUGGAGCUACACUGGCCACACAUAGCUUAACUUUAGCUGACAGGGUAGCUCCUGACUUAACUGGGCCUAUGAGAAGGCUUGUCUGGAGCUACGCUGGCCACAUAUAGCUUAACUUUAGCUGACAGGGUAGCUCCUGACUAAACUGGGCCUAUGAGAAGGCUUGUCUGGAGCUACACUGGCCACACAUAGCUUAACUUUAGCUGACAGUGUAGCUUCUGACUAAACUGGGCCUAUGAGAAGGCUUGUCUGGAGCUACACUGGCCUCACAAAGCUUAACUUUAGCUGACAGGGUAGUUCCUGACUAAACUGGGCCUAUGAGAAGGCUUGUCUGGAGCUACGCUGGCCACAUAUAGCUUAACUUUAGCUGACAGGGUAGCUCCUGACUAAACUGGGCCUGUGAGAAGGAUUGUCAAGGUAGCUCCUGACUAAACUGGGCCUGUGAGAAGGCUUGUCAAGGUAGCUCCUGACUAAACUGGGCAUAUGAGAAGGCUUGUCUGGAGCUACGCUGACCACAUUUAGCUUAAGACCCGUUUUCCCAUGACGCCGUUCAUUUUAUUUAGAAAAUGCGUUCAAUUAGCUGUAAAUGUAAUCUACUAGGUGCUUUUAGUGUUGCACGUGUGUUAGGAGUGUUUUAAAAAUGUUCAAGUUCUGACUGUUAGUAAGAAAUGUUAUCAUCUUGAACUAGGUAAAAUGUUUUAGUAUUGGUAUAAUGUUUGUUAUUUUAUUUUUUCCUAUGUUAUUGUUGUUUGUUCCUAAAAUGAAAAAUGUUCUUAAAGCUUAAUAAAAGCUUAGUAAAACCA